GGUUGUGUAGUGUAAUGGUUCAUCACUCCAGAUUCUGAUUCUGGCAAUCCUGGUUCGAUUCCGGGCACGACCU
rfam:Aspergillus lentulus DNA, contig: Alt12, strain: IFM 54703.